rnacentral:lncRNA from 1 species
GAACAGAGGACGAAAGCUUUGCCAGCAUCGAAAUAUCCCAGCCUCCCAGGAUACCAAGACCCUUCCCAGUUCCUCAAGUUAAAAUCCUGGGAGGAAAAUCCAGUCCUGCCACUUCAUCUUGGUUGGAAGUAGAAGUUCCACUACAGUCUUUGAAGUAAAGCUAUGACAUCAUGCCAGUCCAAAUUCUGAAUGUUUCUAAAAAUAUGAGAAAAUUUUCUUAUAUAAUAGAAAUGACUAUAACAGCUAACAAUUAAAAACAAUUCUUUAAUACCUAAUAGCUAGGUCAUAUUUACAUUUUCUUAAUUAUCUCAAAAGUGUUUCAAAAGUUGGUUCAAAUUAGGACCCAAAGUCAACAUGUUGUAUUUGACUGCUGUGUCUCUUACAUUUUUAGAACAGUCUACCUUUACUCCCCUCCAUUUCUUUGUCAUUAAGUCGUUGAAGAAACCAGACUUGUCUUUAGCAUAUCUGCCUUUAGGAUAUGGCUGAUUGCUUCCUCAUGGUGUCAUUUUACUUGUUCCCAUUUCACUUAUUAGAUCUAGACCAAAUUUGUCAAACCCAC